rnacentral:rRNA from 1 species
UACGUAGGGGGCAAGCGUUGUCCGGAAUCAUUGGGCGUAAAGAGCGUGUAGGCGGCCCGGUAAGUCCGCUGUGAAAGUCCAGGGCUCAACCCUGGGAUGCCGGUGGAUACUGUCGGGCUCGAGUCCGGUAGGGGAGUGGGGAAUUCCUGGUGUAGCGGUGAAAUGCGCAGAUAUCAGGAGGAACACCGGUGGCGAAGGCGGGUCUCUGGGCAACAACUGACGCUGAGGAGCGAAAGCGUGGGGAGCGAACAGG